UUAGAGUUUGAUCCUGGCUCAGGACGAACGCUGGCGGCGUGCUUAACACAUGCAAGUCGAGCGGUAAGGCCUUUCGGGGUACACGAGCGGCGAACGGGUGAGUAACACGUGGGUGAUCUGCCCUGCACUUCGGGAUAAGCCUGGGAAACUGGGUCUAAUACCGGAUAUGACCUCAGGUUGCAUGACUUGGGGUGGAAAGAUUUAUCGGUGCAGGAUGGGCCCGCGGCCUAUCAGCUUGUUGGUGGGGUAAUGGCCUACCAAGGCGACGACGGGUAGCCGACCUGAGAGGGUGACCGGCCACACUGGGACUGAGACACGGCCCAGACUCCUACGGGAGGCAGCAGUGGGGAAUAUUGCACAAUGGGCGAAAGCCUGAUGCAGCGACGCCGCGUGAGGGAUGACGGCCUUCGGGUUGUAAACCUCUUUCAGCAGGGACGAAGCGCAAGUGACGGUACCUGCAGAAGAAGCACCGGCUAACUACGUGCCAGCAGCCGCGGUAAUACGUAGGGUGCAAGCGUUGUCCGGAAUUA
rnacentral:rRNA from 1 species